GCAAGAGUAGAGACUGAGAGAGACGGAGAAGCACGAUGGCUGAGUUCAGAUGGAUUCAAAUGUUUCUGUUCCUGAUACUCAUGCUUCAGUUUAAAGCAGCAGUGACUGGACAACAUCGCCCCACAUUCCUGGUCAGACUUGGUGAUGAGGUCACUUUGCCUUGUCAAAAUGUGACAGUUGGUCAGCCUGAGUGUAACAGAACUGACUGGAUCUUCAGAUGUUUGAAUGUUGCUGACACAGUCAGGCUGAUUCAUCUUGGUUUGAUUGAAGAAAAGCACAAAAAUACAUCAGACAGACUGAGUGUUACAGCAAACUGCUCUCUGGUCAUAAAGAACAUCACAGUUCAUGAUGCUGGUCACUACACCUGCAGACACUACACAUCACAAGACCAACAACACUGUGGAAAAUCCUGUUCUUCUCUGUCCGUCAUCAACAUGACUGAAGAUGAGAACAAUGGUACAGUCAUCUUGUCCUGCUCUGUGUUGGAGUAUGAUCCAUGUACACACACAGUACAGUGGAUCUAUGAGGGUGAAGAGAAAUUCUCAGACAUGCAGAUAUCACCACCAGGCUGCACUGCCACUGUGACAUUUACAACAUCUCACCUUAAUCAGAAGUUUUUUGAGUCAUUAAAGUGUAAUGUGAUGAAUAUGAACAAUGGGAAAGUGCAGCUGUUUCCUUUCAGCCGUCAGUCCUCAGGUGGGACAACAGGUUCAUCAUUGCUGUAUAUUAUUGUUCUUGCAUGUUUAGUAGCACUCUUAAUUAUUGUAGCAUUCGUCAUAUGGAAGAAAAUGAAAGGGAAAAAAACACAAAGGGAAGACAAUGCUGUUGGUUUAAACACUGAAGUAAGUAAAGAUGGCAAUGGCUUUACUGUAAAAAACAUAGGCAUAAUAGAUAAUGUGAACAUACAAUUAUGAACAUAAAAACAAAGUAAAUAAACAAACAAAGUAAAAUAAACAAAGUAAAACAUCACAAACAGCUGCCUAUCAGUAUGUUAAAUCCUCCGUAAUACAGCUAAUUCUAAUGUUUUACCAGUCCUGGGUGUAGUAGUAAACCCAGGACUGAUAUUUAUGUACGUAUGUAAUGGAAUAAAAUAUGUAAUUCAUAUGUUACUUACCUGUGUUUGUGCAGGGAUUAGGUUUAAACCCAGCUGAGAUUCAGUCUGAUCCAGGAAACAGUCAGGAGAUGGAUGAUCUUGAGGAUGGUGUUAACUAUGCUUCCAUCAACUACACUAAGAAGGCCAACAGUAAGGCCAGUGCUCAGGUCCACGAUGAUGAAGGUACCACUGUGACAUACAGCACAGUGAAAGCUCCCUCAGCUUCUCUUGAAGUCUCCACUGAUCCCAGCAACCUGUAUUCCACCAUCACCAAAUAAGAUACUGUAUUUAAAGAUUACAUGUUUUAAUACUGUUAUUUGGAUCUUAUAUUUAGAGUUAUAUCGUCUACUUCAACAUUACAUGGGUAUACUGAAGGGUUUAUAAAAUAAAUCUAGUUUAUUUUAC
ensembl:lncRNA